rnacentral:rRNA from 1 species
UGCAGUCGAACGCAGUAGCAAUACUGAGUGGCGAACGGGUGAGUAUAAUGUGGGUAUCUGCCUUUUGGUUUGGAAUAACACGAGGAAACUUGUGCUAAUACCGGAUAAGCCCUUACGGGGAAAGUUUUAACGCCGAAAGAUGAGCCCGCACUUGGUUAGCUAGUUGGUAGGGUAAUAGCCUACCAAGGCAACGAUCAAUAGUUGAUCUGAGAGGAUGAUCAGCCACAUUGGGACUGAGACACGGCCCAAACUCCUACGGGAGGCAGCAGUGGGGAAUCUUGCACAAUGGGGGAAACCCUGAUGCAGCGAUGCCGCGUGAGUGAAGAAGGCCUUUGGGUUGUAAAGCUCUUUCGUCGGGGAAGAAAAUGACUGUACCCGAAUAAGAAGGUCCGGCUAACUUCGUGCCAGCAGCCGCGGUAAUACGAAGGGACCUAGCGUAGUUCGGAAUUACUGGGCUUAAAGAGUACGUAGGUGGUUAGAAAAGUUGGUGGUGAAAUCCCAAGGCUUAACCUUGGAACUGCCAUCAAAACUUUUUAACUGGAGUAUGAUA